CGCUGGCGGCGUGCCUAAUACAUGCAAGUCGAACGGUCUUUCUAUGGAAGCUUGCUUCCACUGAGAAGAUAGUGGCGAACGGGUGAGUAACAACGUGGGUAACCUGCCCAUAAGAGGGGGGAUAACAUCCGGAAACGGGUGCUAAUACCGCAUAGUUUUCUUGAUCGCAUGAUCGGGAAAGGAAAGACGGCCUUUGUGCUGUCGCUUAUGGAUGGACCCGCGGCGUAUUAGUUAGUUGGUGAGGUAACGGCUCACCAAGACGAUGAUACGUAGCCGACCUGAGAGGGUGAUCGGCCACAUUGGGACUGAGACACGGCCCAAACUCCUACGGGAGGCAGCAGUAGGGAAUCUUCCGCAAUGGACGAAAGUCUGACGGAGCAACGCCGCGUGAGUGAAGAAAGGUUUUCGGAUCGUAAAACUCUGUUGUCAGAGAAGAACAAGUUGGAGAGUAACUGCUCCAGCCUUGACGGUAUCUGACCAGAAAGCCACGGCUAACUACGUGCCAGCAGCCGC
rnacentral:rRNA from 1 species